rnacentral:rRNA from 1 species
AGAUUAUAAGAGUAUACGGAGGAUGGCUCGACAAAAUAUGACGAUGAAGGACGUGGCAGCCUGCGAAAAGUUUCGGUGAGGUGGCAAGCAACCUAUGACCCGGAAAUAUCCCAAUGGGGAAACCCAAUCAGGGGAAUGCCUGAUUAUUCUGCAGUGAAUACAUAACUGCAGGAGGUGAACUCGGCGAAGUGAAACAUCUCAGUAGCCGGAGGAAAAGAAAAUAAGGAAUACUAUCAUCAUCUCGGAUCUUGAAUUUUCGAGAAACGAGAUGAUGUUAUAGUGUUCUUAUUCCCCUAGUAGUGGCGAACGAACGGGGAACAGCCCAAACCUAUAUCAUGAAGUCCGCCAACGUUUCUCUUCGGAGAAGCUACGGCGAGGCGAAAGGUAUCAGCCGUUGUGGUAUAGGUGUAGUAAGUCCUUAUGUUCCAGUCUGAUAGCUGGAGAUAUGAUACAUAGCUUCUAGUAAAAUUUGCUGGAAAGCAAAACCAAAGAAGGUGAUAGUCCUGUAUGCGAAAGGAACUAUGUACAUUUGAUAAGUGAACUUGAGUACGGCGGAACACGUGAAAUUCUGUCGGAAUCAUCCGCGACUAUGCGGAAAGGCUAAAUACGUAUUUUGAUCGAUAGUGAACAAGUACCGUGAGGGAAAGCUGAAAAGAACCCCGGAAGGGGAGUGAAAUAGAAUCUGAAACCGUAUACUUACAAGGAGUCGGAGCCAAUUUAUUUGGUGACGGCGUGCCUAUUGAAGAAUGAGCCAACGAGUCUGUCUUUGUGGCAGGUUAAGUCCUUCGGGACGAAGCCAGAGUGAAAGCGAGCCUUAACGGGCGUUAGUCGCAAGGAUAGGACCCGAAACCGAGUGACCUAACCAUGGCCAGGGUGAAGCUUGUGUGAAAACAAGUGGAGGCCCGAACCCAAGCACCGUGCAAAAUGCUGGGAUGAGCUGUGGUUAGCGGAGAAAUUCCAAUCGAACUCGGUAAUAGCUGGUUCUCUCCGAGAUAUGUUUUGGCAUAGCGUCGGUUAAUAGCGUGAUGGGGGUAGAGCACUGAUUGGGUUCGACGUCAGCAAUGAUAGUCAACCUAGCCAAACUCCGAAUACCAUUACGUGUUCCCGGCAGUCAGACCAUGGGGGCGAAGCUCCAUUGGUCGAGAGGGAAAGAGCCCAGAUCUCAAGCUAAGGUCCCUAAAUUAUUACUAAGUGUAAAAGGUAGUGAGAAGACUCAUACAACCAGGAGGUUGGCUUAGAAGCAGCCAUCCUUUAAAGAUAGCGUAAUAGCUCACUGGUCAAGUUUUCUUGCGCCGAAAAUAUACCGGGGCUAAGUAAUAUACCGAAGCUGAGGGUGUGAUAAAUUUAUUUAUCACGCGGUAGGAGAGCAUUUCUAACUGCAUUGAAGCUGUACUGUGAGGUAUGGUGGAGCGUUAGGAAGGGAGAAUGUUGGCAUGAGUAGCAAAAAGACAUGUGAGAAUCAUGUCCACCGAAAAUCUAAGGUUUCCACAGCAACGAGAAUCGACUGUGGGUUAGUCUGGACCUAAGGCGAGGCCGAAAGGCGUAGUCGAUGGACAGUAGGUUAAUAUUCCUGCACCAGAUAUUAUUUCCGAUGGGGGGACGCUUGUUCGAAUUUCCUGUGCCCUAUGGCUAUGGCAUUGGGGGUUUGGGGUGGUCGUAUAGGUAAAUCCGUACGACAUAUACACUCUGAAUCAUCGCGACUCCAACUAUGUUGGGGAAGAGGAAAAGAGAAUGGGUCAAGAAAAUCCUCUAGGGCUAAGUAAUAUCUGCCAGUACCAAAACCGACACAGGUAGAUGGGUGUGAAAGCACUAAGGUGUACGAGAGAAACAUUGUUAGGGAACUCGGCAAAACAGCGGCCGUAACUUCGGGAUAAGGCCUGGUUCUUUUCGGGAGAAAAGGACCUUCAACAAAUGAUUGCAAGCGACUGUUUACCAAAAACACAGCUCCCUGCUAAACUGCAAAGUGAUGUAUAGGGGGUGAUGCCUGGCCAGUGUCCGAACGUUAAGGAAGGGGGUUAUCUACUUCGGUAGAGAAGCUUUUGACUGAAGCGCGGAUGAACGCCGGCCGUAACUAUAACGGUCCUAAGGUAGCGAAAUUCCUUGUCGGGUGAGUUCCGACCUGCACGAAUGGCAUAACGAUUUGCAAACUGUCCCAACAAUGUACUCGGCGAAAUUGCGGUAAGAGUGAAGAUGCUCUUUACGCGUAGUCGGACGAAAAGACCCCGUGAAGCUUUACUACAGGUUGUCAUUGGGUUCAUGUUCUAUAUGUUCAGUAAUAGGUGGGAGACCUUCGGGUCGCCAGUGAGAUACCACCCUUGUAUUGUGUGAAUCCUAACCAAGCACCAUGAAUCUGGUGUUUGGAACAGUGGCUGCUGGGUAGUUUGACUGGGGCGGUGGCCUCCUAAAAAGUAACGGAGGCGUCUACAAAGGUCAGCUAGGCCCGGAUGGAAAUCGGGUUGAUAGUGCAAACGCAUAAGCUGGCUUUACUGCAAGGAUGACAGUCCGCGCAGUUGCGAAAGCAGAGGUUAGUGAUCCGACCGUUCGAUAUAGGACGGCGGAAGCUCAACGGAUAAAAGCUACUCCGGGGAUAACAGGCUAGUCUUGCCCAAGCGUCCACAGCGACGGCAAGGUUCGGCACCUCGAUGUCGGCUCAUCGCAUCCUGGGGGUGAAGAAGCUCCCAAGGGUUAGGCUGUUCGCCUAUUAAAGCGGUACGCGAGCUGGGUUCAGAACGUCGUGAGACAGUUCGGUCUCCUAUCCACUACGCGCGUUGAAGAUUGAAGGAAUCUAUCCCUAGUACGAGAGGACCGGGAUGGACGAACCUCUAGUGUACCAGUUGUCCUGCCAAGGGCAUUGCUGGGUAGCCACGUUCGGUUCGGAUAAGCGCUGAAAGCAUCUAAGCGCGAAGUCGAUCCUGAGAUUAAUCUUCGUUAUGAGACACCUGAGAGACGAUCAGGUUGAUAGGCACUAGGUGUAAGCGUGGCAACACGUUCAGCCGAGGUGUACUAAUAAGUC